UGAGCAAAAUCUCAACUUUAUUAGAAGAGACGCAUUUAUUAGAUAAAAAGCCAGUUCAUGCUUUUACAGUAUGAAAAUUGGUGAUUUAUAAUAACUUAGCAAAUCGCAAAGUGAAAACAGGCGAUAAAUCAUUCAAGUUUCUGACCUAUCAGCUUUCGACGGUAUGGUAUUGGCUUACCGUGGCAGUGACGGUUAACGGGGGAUUAGGGUUCGAUUCCGGAGAGGGAGCCUGAGAAACGGCUACCACAUCUAAGGAAGGCAGCAGGCGCGCAAAUUACCCAAUUCUAACAGUUUGAGAGAGGUAGUAACAAGAAAUAACAAUACAAGGCAGUUAAAAUGCUUUGUAAUUGGAAUGAUAGAAAUUUAAACCCUUUUUAAAGUAUCAAUUGGAGGGCAAGUCUGGUGCCAGCAGCCGCGGUAAUUCCAGCUCCAAUAGCGUAUAUUAAAAUUGUUGCAGUUAAAAAGCUCGUAGUUGAAGUUCUGCUGAAAGUAACCGGUCUGCUUUUAAUAAAAGUGGUAUCUUGGUAUGUAUUUAGCAAUGAUGUCCUUUGAAGUGUUUUUUACUUUAUUGUAAUAAAGCAUAUUCAGGACUUUUACUUUGAGAAAAUUAGAGUGUUUCUAGCAGGCU
rnacentral:rRNA from 1 species